ACACUUUGCUAGGGGUCCGCGCUUCAACAACCUGAGGCCGGUGAGAAAUACCCUCUGAACCUGAUACGGGUAAUGCCGUCGUAGGAAAGCAUAGCCGCACCAUG
rnacentral:ncRNA from 2 species